rnacentral:rRNA from 1 species
GACGAACGCUGGCGGCGCGCUUAACACAUGCAAGUCGAACGGAAAGGCCUGCUUUCCCUUGUGGAUUGCGGGUACUCGAGUGGCGAACGGGUGAGUAACACGUGAGUGAUCUGCCCCCAACUUGGGUAUAAGCCUGGGAAACUGGGUCUAAUUCCCGAUAGGACUGCAGGGUGGUGCCUGUGGUGGAACACGAUUUUCUAGUGGUUGGGGAUGAGCUCGCGGCCUAUCAGCUUGGUGGUGGGGUAAUGGCCUACCAAGGCGGCGACGGGUAGCCGGCCUGAGAGGGUGGACGGUCACAGUGGGACUGAGAUACGGCCCAGACUGCUACGGGAGGCAGCAGUGGGGAAUAGUGCACAAUGGGCGGAAGCCUGAUGCAGCGACGCAGCGUGGGGGAUGACGGCCUUCGGGUUGUAAACUCCUUUCGACCGCGAGGAAGCCACCUGGUUGGAAGGGUGGUGACGGUAGUGGUAGAAGAAGCACCGGCUAACUACGUG